rnacentral:rRNA from 1 species
AUUGAACGCUGGCGGAAUGCUUUACACAUGCAAGUCGAACGGUAGAGGGGGCAACCCCUUGAGAGUGGCGAACGGGUGAGUAAUAUAUCGGAACGUGCCCAGUCGUGGGGAUAACGUAGCGAAAGCUACGCUAAUACCGCAUACGAUCUAUGGAUGAAAGCGGGGGAUCGCAAGACCUCGCGCGAUUGGAGCGGCCGAUAUCAGAUUAGGUAGUUGGUGAGGUAAAGGCUCACCAAGCCGACGAUCUGUAGCUGGUCUGAGAGGACGACCAGCCACACUGGGACUGAGACACGGCCCAGACUCCUACGGGAGGCAGCAGUGGGGAAUUUUUGGACAAUGGGCGCAAGCCUGAUCCAGCAAUGCCGCGUGCAGGAUGAAGGCCUCGGUUGUAAGACACUUAAGUUUAGGGUAGGAAGGGUAGGUAACC